CUACGGAGGGGGCUAGCGUUGUUCGGAAUUACUGGGCGUAAAGCGUCCGCAGGCGGAUGAUUAAGUUAGGGGUGAAAUCCCGGGGCUCAACCCCGGAACUGCCCUUAAAACUGGUCAUCUAGAGUUAUGGAGAGGUAAGUGGAAUUCCUAGUGUAGAGGUGAAAUUCGUAGAUAUUAGGAGGAACACCAGAGGCGAAGGCGGCUUACUGGACAUAUACUGACGCUGAGGGACGAAAGUGUGGGGAGCGAACGGGAUUAGAAACCCUUGUAGUCC
rnacentral:rRNA from 1 species